rnacentral:rRNA from 1 species
CUUGGNGGAUGUAUAGCGAAAGCUAGUUGUAUUAACUUCGACUCAUUUGAAGUUAAUGCAGCAUCGACUAUGUCGAAUAAAGUUCUAGGUAGAGUUAUGAUAAUGACAUUUUCUAUCUAUGUGUCUUGACCAAGUCACGUGCCAGCAGUCGCGGUAAUACGUGGAAGACUAGUGUUAUUCAUCUUUAAUAGGUUUAAAGGGUACUUAGACGGUAAAUUUAGCCCAAAUAAAAAACAAAGGGUACUAAUUAUACUAGAGUUUAAUGAGAGGGGGUGUGUAGUAGUGGUGUAGAGAUGAAAUUCUGUCAUACCAUUAUGACAGGCAACGGCGAAAGCAACCUUUUAUGUAAAAACUGACGUUAAAGGACGAAGGCUUUGUGUCAUCAACAGGAUUAGAUACCCAAGCAGUCUUAGCAGACAAUUAUGAAUGCCAUAGAUAAGAAAAAAUAUUCUUUCUUAUUAUUUUUUUUUUUUUAUCUUAACAGGUAAUUUUUAAAAACAAAAAAAAAUAAAAACAACAAAACUAUUAUUUUUCUUAUUCCACAGGUAAGGAAAAGUAUUAUUUUGUUUAAAAUGGAUACUUAUUUAACAAAUAAGGAUAAGUAUUAUUUUGUUUAAAAAAAGGAUAAUUUAUUUUUGUCUAUAAAUGAAAGUGUAACCAUUCCACCUCAAAAGUAAUGUGGCAACGCAAAAACUGAAAUCAUUAGACCGUUUCUGAAACCAGUAGUGAAGUAUGUUGUUUAAUAUGAUGGUCCGCACAAAACCUUACCACAAUUUGUAUAUUAUUAGCUUAGUACAAGAGUUGCACGGCUGUCUUCAGUAAAUGUCGUGAGAUUUUGGUUAGUUCCAUAAAAUUAACGUAAACCCUUACUUUAUUUAUUUUAUAAAGGAGUUCACCGCUAUAU